UGUUAGAAUAUUUUUUGAUUUUUAUAUUUGAGGGGUAUGAAGUUUGAUAAAAUAGUGGAAGAUACAAUUAGAUAAAAGUUUUAAUCUAGUUGUGCAUGUCAUCUUGAGUUGUCCACUUAUAUUAUGUUUUUGUUGUUGUAAAUUAACUUCACUCAUGGCAUCCUCACUUUCACUUAGAAAUAUUCUAGAUGCAAACAAGUUGACUGGACCUAACUAUGUCGAUUGGUUAAGGAACUUGAGAAUUAUUCUCACUCAGGAGAAAGUCUUUUACAUUCUGGAUAUACCUACUCUAGAUUCUCUUGGAAAAGAUGCCUU
rnacentral:lncRNA from 1 species